rnacentral:lncRNA from 1 species
UUCCUUUCCCUCUCAUCUUCUGGAUCCCAUCGGUUUCUUCCUCUACCGGAUCCCGACUGUGCGAUUUACCUCCGCCUUUCGUUUUCGCCAUAAUUCUCACUAAACUGCAUUUAAACAAAUAAAUGGUUCUAAUAAAAUUCGGAUUCUACUAAACUAGGUUAAAAUCUAAUUAUUCCUAACUAAACCCUAAUACCCUAAUCCAAAACCCUAAUUUUAGUAAAUAUUCACUAACUAAACCCUAAACCCUAAUUAUGAUUCACUAACAAAACCCUAAACCCUAAUUAUGGUUCACUAACAAAAUCCUAAUUUUUAUUCACUAACUACCUAAACCCUAAUUAUUAUUCACUAACAAAACACUAAUUAUUAUUCACUACCUAAACCCUAAUAAUUCUCUAACAUUCUCUAAUCAAACCCUAAAAAUUCUCUAAAACCCUAAUCACAAUAAACCCUAAUUAAUUUCAUAAUUUAAAAAAAA